rnacentral:rRNA from 1 species
UACGUAGGGUGCAAGCGUUAAUCGGAAUUAAUGGGCGUAAAGCGUGCGCAGGCGGUGAUGUAAGACAGUUGUGAAAUCCCCGGGCUCAACCUGGGAACUGCAUCUGUGACUGCAUCGCUGGAGUACGGCAGAGGGGGAUGGAAUUCCGCGUGUAGCAGUGAAAUGCGUAGAUAUGCGGAGGAACACCGAUGGCGAAGGCAAUCCCCUGGGCCUGUACUGACGCUCAUGCACGAAAGCGUGGGGAGCAAACAGG